CUGACCUCGAAUCAGGUGGGACUACCCGCUGAACUUAAGCAUAUCAAUAAGCGGAGGAAAAGAAACUAACAAGGAUUCCCUUAGUAACUGCGAGUGAAGUGGGAUGAGCUCAAAUUUAAAAUCUGGUAGUCUUUGGCUGCCCGAGUUGUAAUCUAGAGAAGUGUUUUCUGUGCUGGACUGUGUUUAAGUUUCCUGGAUAUGGAACAUCAUAGAGGGUGAGAAUCCCGUCCUUAACACAGACACCCCAGUGCUCUGUGAUGCACUCUCGACGAGUCGAGUUGUUUGGGAUUGCAGCUCAAAAUGGGAGGUAAAUUCCUUCUAAAGCUAAAUAUUGGCGAGAGACCGAUAGCGAACAAGUACCGUGAGGGAAAGAUGAAAAGCACUUUGGAAAGAGAGUUAAACAGUACGUGAAAUUGUUAAAAGGGAAACAAUUGAAGUCAGUUGCAUCUACUUGGACUCAGCCUUACUUUGGUUUGGUGCAUUUCCUUGUGGAUGGGCCAGUGUUCAUGUUGAUUCCUGGAAAAGGGGCUAGGGAAUGUGGCUCUUUUGGGAGUGUUAUAGCCCUGGCUCAUAUAC
rnacentral:rRNA from 1 species